rnacentral:rRNA from 1 species
GGAUUGCCUUAGUAACGGCGAGUGAAGCGGCAAGAGCUCAAAUUUGAAAUCUGGCCUCCUGGAUGGGGGUUCGAGUUGUAAUUUGGAGAGGAUGCUUCGGGCCCGGUUCCCAUCUAAGUGCUCAGGAACGGGCCAUCAGAGAGGGUGAGAAUCCCGUCUGGGAUGGGUAAUAGGGACCGUGUGAAGCUCCUUCGACGAGUCGAGUUGUUUGGGAAUGCAGCUCUAAGUGGGUGGUAAAUUUCAUCUAAAGCUAAAUAUUGGCCGGAGACCGAUAGCGCACAAGUAGAGUGAUCGAAAGAUGAAAAACACUUUGAAAAGAGAGUUAAAGAGCAUGUGAAAUUGUUGAAAGGGAAGCGCUUGCGACCAGACUCAUGCGGGGGGGUUCAGCCGGCACUUGUGGCGGUGCAUUCCCCCUGGCGUGGGCCAGCGUCGGUUUGGAGGGUUGCUGAAAGGCCCCCGGAAUGUAGCGUCCUUCGGGGCGUCUUAUAGCCGGGGGUGGCAUGCGGCCAGCCAGACCGAGGAACGCGCUCCGGCUCGGACGCUGGCGUAAUGGUUGCAAGCGGCCCGUCUUGAAACACGGACCAAGGAGUCUAGCAUCUACGCGAGUGUUCGGGUGUUAAACCCGUGCGCGCAGUGAAAGCGAAUGGAGGUGGGAGCCCCCUGGGUGCACCAUCGACCGAUCCUGAUGUUCUCGGAUGGAUUUGAGUAAGAGCGUAGCUGUUGGGACCCGAAAGAUGGUGAACUAUGCCUGAAUAGGGCGAAGCCAGAGGAAACUCUGGUGGAGGCUCGCAGCGGUUCUGACGUGCAAAUCGAUCGUCAAAUUGGGUAUAGGGGCGAAAGACUAAUCGAACC